GAUGAACGCUGGCGGCGUGCCUAACACAUGCAAGUCGAGCGAGGGUUUGCUCAGUAUUGAGUAUUCUAAGUCUAGAAUGUUCAAUUCUGAGCAAAACCAAGCGGCGGACGGGUGAGUAACGCGUGGGUAACCUGCCCUAUACACAUGGAUAACAUACUGAAAAGUUUACUAAUACAUGAUAAUAUAUAUUUGUGGCAUCGCAGAUAUAUCAAAGUGUUAGCGGUAUAGGAUGGACCCGCGUCUGAUUAGCUAGUUGGUGAGAUAACUGCCCACCAAGGCGACGAUCAGUAGCCGACCUGAGAGGGUGAUCGGCCACAUUGGAACUGAGACACGGUCCAAACUCCUACGGGAGGCAGCAGUGGGGAAUAUUGCACAAUGGGCGAAAGCCUGAUGCAGCAACGCCGCGUGAACGAUGAAGGUCUUCGGAUCGUAAAGUUCUGUUGCAGGGGAAGAUAAUGACGGUACCCUGUGAGGAAGCC
rnacentral:rRNA from 1 species